rnacentral:rRNA from 1 species
UUGAAGUGUGGAGAGAAUCCUCUUAGUAACUCAACAACUGGAAAUCGAGAGAGAUGCCAUAAGUUGUCUCUAUGAAUAGUGG